rnacentral:rRNA from 1 species
UACGUAGGGUGCGAGCGUUAAUCGGAAUUACUGGGCGUAAAGCGUGCGCAGGCGGUUUUGUAAGCCAGAUGUGAAAGCCCCGGGCUUAACCUGGGAAUGGCAUUUGGGACUGCAAGGCUUGAGUGCGGCAGAGGAGACUGGAAUUCCUGGUGUAGCAGUGAAAUGCGUAGAUAUCAGGAGGAAUACCGAUGGCGAAGGCAGGUCUCUGGGCUGACACUGACGCUCAUGCACUAAAGCGUGGGGAGCAAACAGG